rnacentral:rRNA from 1 species
GACGAACGCUGGCGGCGUGCUUAACGCAUGCAAGUCGAACGGAAAGGCCCUGCUUUUGUGGGGUGCUCGAGUGGCGAACGGGUGAGUAACACGUGAGUAACCUGCCCUUGACUUUGGGAUAACUUCAGGAAACUGGGGCUAAUACCGGAUAGGAGCUCCUGCUGCAUGGUGGGGGUUGGAAAGUUUCGGCGGUUGGGGAUGGACUCGCGGGUUAUCAGCUUGUUGGUGGGGUAGUGGCUUACCAAGGCUUUGACGGGUAGCCGGCCUGAGAGGGUGACCGGCGACAUUGGGACUGAGAUACGGCCCAGACUCCUACGGGAGGCAGCAGUGGGGAAUAUUGCACAAUGGGCGGAAGCCUGAUGCAGAAACGCCGCGUGCGGGAUGACGGCCUUCGGGUUGUAAACCGCUUUCGCCUGUGACGAAGCGUGAGUGACGGUAAUGGGUAAAGAAGCACCGGCUAACUACGUG